rnacentral:lncRNA from 1 species
GAAACUUACGAGAUCAACCAAAGCAGCGGCCUUUUGGUAUGUUGAUCCAUAAGCAAUGGCAUUUGUUCUGUUAAACAAGUGCAUACGAUCCCUUCGUUGGUCGCCACUGCUGCCUUCUCCGCCAACCAACAAAGCCGUCUCCAUUUUUGCUCUGAUCUCUACAGAAUCAAAGAUGGGAUUGAUUUGAACGUGGUCAUUAAUGAGAAAAAGAAAUGGUUGUUCGUUAUGGAUGACUUCAAAGUCAAGCACUUCAAAUUGUCAGUAUCAGAGUAUUCUUUUAAGUUUGUGUGAUAGCUAUUU